UAUUAUACCUGUCCAUAAUAACAUCUGCGUACAACAAUACUCGCGUGUAUCGGGUGUCGUUGUGUGUGGAUUAUAAUCUCGCGAUCGGGCACGCGUUUCAAGGUAGGUAUCUAUUAUAAUACCCAUAAAACUAAAAAUUAAAAUGGCCGGGCACUGUGAGAGUGAGGGAGCGAGAUAGAAAGAAUUUAAAAAGACGACACCGACGGAAUUCAGAAAAAAAAAAAAACCACUCGGUAUACAAACAGAACAUAAUAUUAAUAAAUAUGUAUAACUUAUAACUAUAAUAUGUAUAUUAUUAUGGUUGUACAUAUUUAUUGUAUUAUAAUAGCUGUUAAUGCGUAUGUGUGUGUGUAUGUGUAUGGUGACCAGAUGUGCAGUAUUUUAUGUUGACGACAAUGCGCUUCUCUGUGUUAUGAAUUCCCUCGACAAUUUGGAAGUUGUGUAUAAUAUUAUUACAUGCAUUACAAUAAUUAUUAUUUUAGAAAAUACAUUCACUUACAGGGAUUAAAGUGGGAGCGGGAUGUGAGGGGCCAACAAAUGUAAAUACGUGUCUGGUUUAUUGUUUAUUUAUACAGAGUGAUUCAUUUAUCAUGGACCAGCGAUUUUCUCGGAGGUUUUUAAGUGAAUUUGAUUUCUGUUUUUUUUUUUUAAUUUUUUAAUUAUUAUAAAAGCGUUUAAGAUUUAUUAAAAUAUUAUUUUCAAUUUUUACCCUCACUUAUCUCUAUACCUUUAAUGAAUAUACACUUUUAUUUGCAUCUAACAACCCCCUCUUUUAAAUACAGAUUAAAACGGAGAAUAAUUUUCUAAAAAAAAAAAAAAAUGAUAUACUUAACAUAAAUAUAAAACUUACCGUUUAUGAGUUACAAUAGGUUAAAGUUUAAACAGAAGGAUCAGGAAAGGGUUUUCAUUUAUCAAUUUAUCAUCUUCUAAACACGGAUAUGGAAGUAAAUACCCUAAUCACUCUAUUUUUCAAAACUUAUUUAAUCGGACUUGAUUCAGAAUCGUUUUUUUUGUUUACAACGAUUUAUCUUUACUUACAGUAUAAAUCGUAAGUAAAUUGCCCAUGCAAUGAAUUGGACAAAUUCACCUCUGGGAUGUAACAUUGUUAUUUUUUUCUUUUUCGUGUUUCUUUUAAACACUUUUAGUGGCUCCCCCUUAGAGUCUGCAUGGUCAAAUGAGCUCAAAUUCGUGUAUUAGAAUGGAGUCAAAUGUUAAAAUGAUAAAAUGUUGGUUGAGAAUCAAUAUGAAUUCAAAGGUGAAUUUUACUAAAAUGUUGGGGGAUAAGGAUGUUUUUUAACUUUAUACACCCCUAUAGACCCCCCUAAUGAAGGCUGAGGAUGCAAAUUUAAUAUGGUUUAAGUAUCAAGGAUGUGCACAUUUCAUGUUUUUACAGGAUAAUACAGGAUUUUAAACAGACAACCAAACUAUAGUCAAAGUAUCAUAGUAUCAGUAUAAAUUAUAAUUUAACUGCCACAGGUUGACUGAGGAAAAAUUUUACCCUAGUGGCGAAACUCUGUCGCUUAUAGGUGGUUUUUUUUAAUAGUUUUAUAAUAAUAAUUAUGAUUAUUACAAAUACAAUCCGUGAUUGAUAAUCCCACUUUACACAAUCUUUCUUUAAACGUCUCACCCUUAUGCAAUCUCCACUCCAAUGAAUCUAUUUGAAAAUAUCCCAAAUUAUUUUUUAUUGGUCUUUUAUUAUCACCAAAUGUAAUUAUAUUUCUGCUCUAAUAAAUUCAUACAAUAUCUGUUUUAAUGCUGCUCAAUCAAUAUUUUCCUCACAAUUAAUUUCCAUCAUCAAAUCAAUUAUUUCUUCUUUAAUCAGACAAUAAGUUUUUGAUUUAAUAUAUUGUAAUUAGUUUUUAUUUCAUUUUUAUUAUUUAUUUAUGUAAUUACUGAUUCACGAAUUUAUCAUUAAUUAUUGUAACUAAUUAUUAUUUUUUCAAUAAAUCUUCAAUUAAAAAAAAAAAUUAAUUAUAAUAUUAUAAAUAGUAUACUUUUAUGCGAAUUAAAAAGUCUGUUCAAAAUAUUAACUUUUGGGUGCCUCGUCAACUGAGAAAUUUCAUAGCCUCUAGCGUAUCUCACAACAAUAUCUUCACCAUUGAAUGUUUUCCUUUACACCGUUUGAUGCGUUUGACCGACGAGAACUGGCUUUGUCUACGGUGUAAUUUUGUAAUAAAUAGUGUCAACCUAGCAAAACUCAAUACACGAUCAGUACUUAGGACAUUCACUUUUUAUUGUUUUCGGUAAGAACACUGAAAUCCAAUUUUCUGUUAAAUAAAACACAAAACGAAUAAAGCUCGAAAUUAAUUGUUAUACCAUGGAGACACGUAUAUAUAGCCAUAUAGAUACGUAUACUAUAAUAUAAUAUAUUAUUGUUAUGAUAUAUUAUGUCUAUACUACUUCACGAUAAAAUUGUAUUUAUUUAUUACUUAUUAAUUAUUAUGUCAAUACUCUAUUUUGUAAUGUCAAAUCAUUUUCUUUUUGUACGGCGGUAAAAACAAUAUAAUAAUUAUCUAAGUAAUAAUAAUAAUAUAGUCAUACAACUUUCAAGAGAAGCAAUGUUUCAUUAAUAUAUUAUGACAAUAUUGACAUUCACUAUUCGUCUUGGCUGCUUGCGUAAGCCAGGAAAAGGAGUAAAAGAAUGUUGUAAAUGGCAAUCCGAAGGAUACUCUAAAGCAGCUCUUUCUAUGCGAUCGGAUAAUACUAAUUACUAGUUUUUAUUCUUAUUUAAAAUGAAUUAUUGUUGUUUUAUUUAUGUUAAAAAAAAUAAUAAAAAAUAUGGGGUCUAAUAAACGCGCCUGCUUAUCGCCGACUGCCCAUUUACAAACUACAAUUCCGAUGAAAUAAUUACUCUUUAAUGAAACCGUUUAAGGCGUUUUCAAUAACUGGUUAUCAAAUAUGGAAUCAAGGUGUUAAUAAAUCAUAUCUGGCUACCUUUGUCAUAUCUAUAACUUGAUGAACCGUACGUGAAAUGAAUAUUAGGUAGGUACGGUGAUUUUUCAUACACUCAAAUGUACAUAUUUUUUAUAAGAUUAUACAAUAUUAUACAUAAUAUAAUAUACUAGUUGCUCCACCCAUCGUUGCCUGUACCAAACAAAUAUGUAAUAAUAACUUUUCCCCUCUGAAUUCCCUGUUUCGAUCUCUGACACUAUCACUGCUGUUAUCCGUUUUACCCUUAAAAGUUGUCCUUAAAUGUUUAAAAAUGUUUUUUAUUUAAUUUUCAUUUCAGACUUGUAUGAAUUAGUUUUAUGGUAGCUAAGCAUUGAAAAAUACCUAUAAAUUAUUAUUCUGUAUCCAGUCCAAACUACUGCAGGUAUGGUCUACUACUUCUACUGGUCAGACUGGUCAGGGCCGUCUUAAAAUAUGCAGGAACCCUUGAGCACACAGAGUUUGAGGGCCCUUUUAGAAGCCAAAAAAUAACGUGAAUAAAAAAAUCAAUAUUAAUUUUUAUUUAAUGAC